rnacentral:rRNA from 1 species
UACGUAGGGUGCGAGCGUUAUCCGGAUUCACUGGGUUUAAAGGGUGCGUAGGUGGGCAGGUAAGUCAGUGGUGAAAUCUCCGGGCUUAACUCGGAAACUGCCAUUGAUACUAUCUUUCUUGAAUACCGUGGAGGUCAGCGGAAUAUGUCAUGUAGCGGUGAAAUGCUUAGAUAUGACAUAGAACACCAAUUGCGAAGGCAGCUGGCUACACGAAUAUUGACACUGAUGCACGAAAGCGUGGGGAUCAAACAGG